rnacentral:ncRNA from 1 species
AUCGCGAGGUACAGGCGAGAAGAAGGGAUAGCGAAAUCGUAGCCUGACGGACAGGAACCUAAUACUAAGGCUUGUAUGAAGGAUAAGUGGACAUGGGCCAUGAAGUCCAAAAGGUAACCGUAAUUCAUACAGGUAGAUUAGGUAGGUAGACGAGGAAAGGC